rnacentral:rRNA from 1 species
UACGUAGGUGACAAGCGUUGUCCGGAUUUACUGGGCGUAAAGAGCGCGCAGGCGGUCGAUCAAGUCGAGUGUGAAAGCCCCCGGCUCAACUGGGGAGGGUCAUUCGAUACUGAUCGACUCGAAGGCAGGAGAGGGUAGUGGAAUUCCCGGUGUAGCGGUGAAAUGCGUAGAUAUCUGGAGGAACACCGGUGGCGAAGGCGGCAUCCUGGACCAAUAUUGACGCUGAGGAGCGAAAGCCAGGGGAGCAAACGGG